AACGAACGCUGGCGGCAUGCCUAACACAUGCAAGUCGAACGAGACCUUCGGGUCUAGUGGCGCACGGGUGCGUAACGCGUGGGAACCUGCCCUUAGGUUCGGAAUAACUCCCCGAAAGGGGUGCUAAUACCGGAUAAUGUCUUCGGACCAAAGAUUUAUCGCCUUUGGAUGGGCCCGCGUUGGAUUAGCUAGUUGGUAGGGUAAAAGCCUACCAAGGCGACGAUCCAUAGCUGGUCUGAGAGGAUGAUCAGCCACACUGGGACUGAGACACGGCCCAGACUCCGACGGGAGGCAGCAGUGGGGAAUAUUGGACAAUGGGCGAAAGCCUGAGCCAGCAAUGCCGCGGGAGUGAUGAAGGCCUUAGGGUUGUAAAGCUCUUUCACCCGGGAUGAUAAUGACAGUACCGGGAGAAUAAGAUCCGGCUAACUCCGUG
rnacentral:rRNA from 1 species